rnacentral:rRNA from 1 species
AACGUAGGAGACAAACGUUAUCCGGAGUUACUGGGCGUAAAGGGCGUGUAGGCGGUUUGUUAAGUCUGGCGUGAAAGCUCUCGGCUAAACCGGGAGAGUCGUUGGAUACUGGCAGACUAGAGGACGGUAGAGGCGUGUGGAAUUCCGGGUGUAGUGGUGAAAUGCGUAGAGAUCCGGAGGAACACCAGUGGCGAAGGCGACACGCUGGGCCGUACCGUGACGCUAAAGCGCGACAGCAUGGGGAGCAAACGGG